GGGUGGGUAGCCCAACCUGGUAGAGGCACUGCGCUUAGAACGCAGCAAGUGAGGGUUCAAAUCCCUCUCCACCUAC
rnacentral:tRNA from 1 species